ncrna:unclassified sequences LOOT RNA
GACCUAACCCGGCAUUUAUGGCGGCAUGGUUUAAAACCGAUCAAAGAUGAAGAACCCGCCAUAGGGGAGCACUUUGAUCGGUCCUGUUGGGAAACUAGCAGUGGGUAGCCUAGCUAUC